GCCAGUUUUCCCAGCACCAUUUAUGAAAUAGAGAAUCCUUUCCCCAUUGUUUGUCUUUGUCAGGUUUGCCAAAGAUGAGAUGGUUGUAGAUGUGUGGUCUUAUAUCUGAGAUCUCUACUCUGUUCUAUUGGUCUAUGUGUCAAAACAGACCUUUUCUACACAGCAUCCUUGACAAAAAGGUCCAGCCUCCACUGCCACCGCCCCACCCCGCCCCCACAGUGACAGGAGCAAGCUCACUUCAUCCCUCAGCACCAUGUUCCUGAGGACUAGCUCUGAAGCUUCUGUCUUGUGUUGAGUUGAAAUAGUUCUCCCUAAAGCUCUCCUUGUGGGUCCAGUAUUGCCUUCUGAAGCCACACAGAAGCAUCCUGUUUCCCUUCCAUACAAUAGCCCUUUAGGUAUCUGUAGAUAAGCGGGCAACUCCUGGAGACUUCCCUGCUUCAGAAGAAAUACUUGCAGCGCCUUCUAUCAUUCCUUGCAUGAUAUAUGUGUCAGCAAGACCUGAGUUGCAAGCAGUAGAAACCCAUGCUAGCUGACUCAGGUAGAAAAGACAUUUCGUUAGAAGGAAAUGGGAGUGGUCACAGGAUUGGCAGAACAGUUGGAAAUCCAGCUGGAGAAAUAGACAGGAACAAGCCAGAAGCACACUGAAACCUAUCCAAAAGCAUCCCAGGAGGGCACACUGAGUGCCGCAUGGAGCCUGCACCACCAUGGGGAGGAAGCAGCCACCGCCUUCCUGAAUCCCCACCAGGCAGAAACAUCUCUCCCGUCUUUGAACUUCACCACGCCGUGCAUCUUCCUCUGGGUGUGCAAUCGUCACCUGCGUACAUGAUUGAUUCUGCCCCCAACACUAGACUGUGAGUACCCUUUGCGGGCAGAGCUAUGUGUCCUUAUCACCAGAGUCUUGCACAGCACUUAAUAGAUGCUCAGGAAACAUCUUUGUCAGCAUAGUAUAGCUGGAUGUAGAAAUCUCUGAAAACAUAGAGGCCAGAGUUCAUCAGAAAGCGUUAGAAGGACUUCACAAGGUUCACUGGAAAGAAGUAAAGCUUAGAGAUCUGUGGAAGGAGGCAAAGGGCCAUUUGAAAGCAGAGAACAGGUGAGGGGCUGUGCAUUAGGAGUGGAAGAGCCCAUUGGAGGCCUGCGGACUUGGAACGAAAGGGUCUUUCACUACAUAUCCCAUCCACCCACCUGGGAAGCCCUUCUCCCUGCCCCCAACCCAGACACAUGUCCCAGUUGGAUGCUGGACAGAGGCUUUGAAUAUGAGGCAGAAAAACUUUGGCUCAGAAUAGGAAGGCCCUGCUGGCUCCUGGAAAGGUUUCUAGCAGGAUAAAAACUAUUUUUAAAAGGUAGCCUGGAUCAUGUCACUCUUUCACUUAAAGUGCUUCAGAAGUUUCUCAUUUCUCUUAGCAGGCAGAAAGAACUCAAAGCUCAGAUGGUCAGGGUCCUGUUGGUUCAUCAAGCUCAGCCUGCCUGGAGGCAGCCACUGUGUUGUUCCCUCUCUUCGUCCUCCCUCUGCACUCUCUCUUGCCACGGGACAUUUGCACAAGCAGUUCCCUCUAACUGGAACACUAAGAAAUAUGGAAGUAAAAGGGGUUGGGAGAAAAGACAGGAGUCACAGGUGACUGUGUGGGAUGAGGAGAGUCGUGAAAACUUUUUUUUUUUUUUUUUGAGAUGGAGUCUCGCUUUGUCACCCAGGCUGGAGUGCCAGUGGUGCCAAUCUCGGCUCACCGCAACUUCCACCUCCCAGGUUCAAGCAGUUCUCCUGCCUCAGCCUCCUGAGUAGCUGGGAUUACAGUUGCCUGCCACCACGCCUGGCUAAUAUUUGUAUUCUUAGUAGAGAAGAGGUUUCACCAUGUUGGCCAGGCUGGUCUCAAACUCCUGACCUCAGGUGAUCCACCUGCCUCAGCCUCCCAAAGUGCUGGGAUUACAGGCAUGAGCCACUGCACCCGGCCGAAAACAUUAAGAGUAGGUGGAUGUUACUUUGGACACCAAAUGAAGAAGUGUGCCGAGCUGAAAGAGAAAAGGAGAAGAAAAUGGACAUGACAUUUACGGGGUUCCUCUUGCAGAGAGAGAACCGUGUAGAAGGUCCACACCCGCCGUAUCCUACUGCACGGUGCUGGAAGGCACAUGGAAGACUAUUGCAGCCCAAUCUUCUCAUGACAAAGACAGGAAAAUGGAGCCCUCUAAGAGAAAGUGACUGAUCCACCCUUAUGCUCUUAAAUGGAAUGAGGCAGCAAGAGGCCAGAUUCUGCCGGAGACAGAGCAGAGAGCCAAACCAUCGCCACUUAUUGGUGCAUGAACCUGGGCAAGGCAGGGGUAUCCCUGAGCCUCAGCUUCCUUGUUUGCAAAAUGGUGACAUGCCUACUUCCAGAGCUGUUGUUAAGGUUAAAUGAUGACGCAGUUUACCAUAUGCCAGGCACAUAGUAGGCACUAAAUAGUUGCAAUUAUUAGCCCUGAGCAAACAUUGCUCAGCCAUUCCCUUGUAAAGCCUAUUCUCAAACCAACUUUCCAUGUGGACGUUCAAUCAUCUUUCUGGAUGACCUCGCCUUACCCAUUGCCUCAGAUUCUGUGUGUGUGUGUGUAUAGAAGAAACAAAGAAAAAAAGUGCUUUUCACAUAGUGAGGACAUUUCCCCAUCCUAUGAGUCUGUGUAUGUGUGUGCAUAUGUAUAUGUAUGUACACACACACACACACACACACACACACACACACACACACUGCCCCGUGGAAUAGGCAGGACGGGGUUGCAUUUCCCCUCUUUUAAAGGUGAGGAUGCUGAGCCUCAGAAAGAUCAAGUGACCUGAACAAAGUCACACAGCCAAUGUGUUUCUCCAAAAGAAAUGACCAGGAGUCAGUGUUUCUUUAUACAAGGGUGUCCAAUCUUUUGGCUUCUCGGCCACACUGGAAGAAGAAGAAUUGUCUUGGGCCACACAUAAAGUACACUAGCACUAAUGAUAGCUGAUGAGCUAAAAAAAUAAAAAUAAAAAUCACACACAAAAAACAGUGUUUUAAGAAAGUUUACAAAUUUGUAUUGGGCUACAUUCAAAGCCGUCCUGGGCCAUGGGUUGGACAAGCUUGCUCCACCAUAAACACGUGAUGAACAGACAUUGAAAUCGUACCUUUAGGGCUGUUUUAGGAACACAAGAGGCAUCAUCUGGCUAUCUUGAGAAAGCAGAUUUCAAUUUUCUAUUCAUUAAAGAAAUGUGCUUCCAUCUACCUUGAAAUCAUUUUGAUGAUUUCCAGAUUCAAGUCCCUGAAUAAAUUCCAGGGAAAGUCACGUCACGGGACAGAAUGGCCGUCACCUUGAAAAAAAAUUAUUUUCUCCUGGAGGCACUACUGAGGCUCAGCGAUCCCACGUCUGCCACUCCCUCCUACUGCAUGUGGUAUCCCUGAGUCUCCGCUCAGGGAAAACAGACAAAACUACACAUGCUCAAAACAGAACAAAAAUGGGAACAGGGCUCAGAAACCAGUUUGUCUGGUUCCAGUCAUUUCCACCGCAAUGACAGAUCCAGUGACCUUGGCAGCCCUCAUCCAUUCACCACAUCUUCCCAUUACCACCUAACGUGCCCCUCCCAAUAGCUCCGUGUGGUAGAGGCUGCACACAGGCUCAGGAUUCCCACUUCACAGGUGAUAAUGUCAAGGUGCAGUGACAUGCAGCUUCUUGUCCCAGGUCAGGUGUCUCAUGAUUGUUGAGCCACUGUCUUCUGACUCAGCCAGUGAUCUUUCCUUUGGACCACAACCCCUCUGAAAAGCACUGUGCUGAGAAACAUGGGUUUACUUUACCUAUUGCUAUUUUGUACGUUUGAAACGAUCUUUCCAAAACAGAUUUAAUAAUUGAAAGUUUUGCUCUCUGUUCCUUGGAGAAAAGGGACAUGCUUUGAGGAAGGAAUUGGAACCCGAACAGUCAUGUUUUAUAGGCAUUCAUGUUUAUUUCUCUGAUAUUAUGGCUUCCUCUGGAAAAAUCCAACCAACACAUCCGUUUCAAGUCUUGAGAAACUCCCAAAUGUUGACCAUGUGUCUGAUUCCUGUGUGGUCAAAAGAGUGAUGUUUCUUAAUGUCCACAACUUAUUUCCAUGUUAAAAUAAUUCCACGCUCAGCUAAAUCCCACUUACACACAAGUGUGCACCUGUUAAAAUAGGUCAUUUUUCACUGCUAAUCUUCCAGAUUCCAUGAGUAUGUGUGGGAACCCCAGACAAAUGCAACUUGAAUGUCACAAAAGGCAUUUUUCUUUGCUGAGUGACCCUGGUUGGCCCAGACACCCUGGGUGCCUUGCUCCCACAGAUUUGUAAAACUAAGGAAGAUCCCUUUCUGCUGAGAGAAUGGAUUGGAAUUAAAUCUUAGCAUAGAAGGCCUUGGGUGAAACUGUAUGGAAUUUUGUCUUACAACUGGGUUAUUUUUUAAUUAGAUUUUUGUCGAUCUUUUUUCAACUCUGAAGUAUGUCAGUAUGGAAACUCAGUAACUUUUCUCAAUGCUCCCCAUAAAGCUAAAAAUUAAAAAGAAGAGAAGAGAAAUAAAAAGGGAAAAAAUUAAAAUUUCAGAGCAAGAAGCUCUAGCCUCUGAGAUUUUGUUACUGUUGCAAAAGUAAUAGGUCAUCUUUGCCACAACCUCAAUGCUAAAAAGUAGAUGCACAAAAAAGCAAUUUUUAUCCCAAAGUCUUCUUGGCGAUGAGAUUUUUUUUCCUGCUUCAGAUUUGGCAUGCUUCCAGAAACCCAAGGGCCCUAAAUCAAUAUCAAGUGACCGCUUCCAACUCGUAAGAGCCUCUAGGGCUCAUUGCAAAUGUGGGCUCUGGGUUCCAGAGAGACAGGCUUAAAGAAAUUGAUGGCAAAAAUGGGAAGCUCUGUGGCUGACCUCAGUUGCAGGAUCCGUGCUGGGACAGCCUGUCCUCCGCUCCAUGAUUUGUGAGGGCCUGCCUGGUAUUGCUAAUCUUCCUGACAGUUUAGUUUGAAGAGAAAAGGGGCCAGUGGCACUGUAGGCAACAUCAGACAAGCCACAGAUCUCCUGGGAGAUCUAAGCUCUCCAGGAGGCAGAUAACAACAUUUUGCCUUUCCACGGGGUUGUUAAUAUACAUAUGAAUCCCAAAUACAAGAAUGGGCUCUUCAAACUGGUUUAUUUAAACACUUUUUCUGAGACACACGUUUCAAGAAGGGGAUAAAGAGGGUGUGAUGUGGAUCCUGUGCUGUCUUCAAAGAAGGGAAGGUGGACUGCUAUGUUUCUAGUGUAGAAUCUGGCACAGAAACCACCCAUAGCAGGUGCGCCACGGACCUGCUUUAGCUGGAAGGAUCCUUUCUACAUUCCUUCCACCACCUAGUGAGUGGCCACGUUGAUGAUGAGACCUGGGCCUUUAAAAAUCCUCUUUCAGGUCUCCAGCCAACCCUCUCCAUUCAACUCAGUUUCACAAACCUUUUCUUAGCAGCCACCCAUUCCCAAGGACUGUAGUGGGUGCCGCAGGGGAGACAGAGGUGAAGGAGACACAGUCCUUUCUGCUGAUUCUGCGGCUGAGUCAGCUGAUAGCCUACGUCUAUUUGCCAAGAAUAUGAUCAACUGAGUGAAAACAACAAAAUAAAAAACGCUGAGUUGGGGAGAUGACUCGACUCGGGAGGAUAAUGAGAAUGUCCAAGCUGUGAGUCCCCUGGAGGCCAAGGCAAGUUUGCAGCUGGCAUGGUAACAGCAGGGUGGUUGCUGAGGGAAACUGAAACCAUGUCACAUGGAAAAGAUUUGUAGGAGUGGAGGGCCUUUGGCCUGGAGAAGAAAAGCCUUGGAGAACAGAAAGGCUGGUUUCACAUACCUGAGAGACUGCCAUGGGGAAGACCCAUACUUUGUUCUCUGGGGCCCCAGAGGGGGCCCACCAUAGAACAGGACUAUGGUGGGGAUACGUAGGGGGACCGAUUGCAGCUCGAAAUUGCGAAGUCCUGUCCUUGUCAGAGCUGUCCCAGGUGGAGUGGGAUGUACCAGGAGGUGGUGAGUUCCUGUCAUUGCAGGGAUUUCAGUCGGGGUGGAGAGCCCACUAAACAAAGACGCUGUGGAGAAGAACCAAGCAUGGAGGAGGGUGGAGGGCCUGAUCUUCUAAGCUUCACUCUCUGCCUGGGAGUCUUCGAUUCCUCCCUCCUCUUACUAUAACUUAAUGAGCUGCUAACGCCAACACCUGGCUUCUUAUUCAAACAUGCUUAAAUGUGAACGGGGAAGACUGGCAUCAGAGGUGGGCAGAUUAACAACAAACUCCCUCAGGGGUCUCCAAAAUGAGAGAGAAGGGACAAAGGCAGAAUCGUUCUGCGUGCCUGCAAGUUGGAUUUGGAGUCUCCACACUGUGCCUCUGGCCGUUGAACAGAAGAGGGGUCUCUUUGCUGUGUCUUUAGCAAGGUGACAAGCAAGAGAGCUGGGUAGCACAGCCUGGGGCUCACAGGCAGCAGAUCACCUUCAGCUCCCCAGGCCCCUCUGUCAUGGACUCAGGCCACUGCUGGGACUCAGUCACCAGGACAGGGAGAGCCCAGAGGGCACUGCUCCACAGGGUGGGCACAGCAAACAGCCCUUCCCCACACUCCCACUCUUCCCGGCAGAGAGGGUGCCUGCGGUGUGACUCGAGGGAACUCGGCCUAUUCAUCUCACCCGCUUCUGCCUAUCUCUCCACACACACUUUUGUCAUUGUUAAAACCAUGAGCAGCUUUUUCCUGAUAUCACAGUCUAGGAAAUCGAUGCCUCGUUCAGUGAGCCAGCACUUGCUGUGCUCUUGCCACAGGUUGGGACUGUGUGGAUGGAUGCCCCAUUGCUUAGGGAGCACAGAGGAGGGACCUAGCUCGGGCUGGGGCUUUACAGAAGGCUUCCGAGAAGGGAUGUCAUUGGCCUGACUCUUAAGAGGAAGGAAAAGAAGAGCACCAAGUACAAAUGAUUAGCACUACUCAUCAGCAAAUCAGGAGACUGGGCGUGUAGGGAGAUGAGGCUGAGGAAGUCACUCUGAACACACACGAGGGGCCUGAUUGUCACCUGAAAUGCCUGAUGUUUUCCUGUUGGUUAUGGGAAACAGAGGGAUGACAUAGAUUGAUUUAUAGAGAUUUUUCUGCCUGCAUCAAAGGCAUCAUAAACAAGAGGGUAGGACUAGUGGCAAAGAAACGAGUCAGAAUUGUUUAGUCGAGACAUGAGAAGACCCUGAGCUAGCUCAGUGGUAGCAGGGUGGAAAGGAAGGGACCAAAAGGAGAAAUAUUUUGGAUUUAAAAAUUAACAAGACUGUCCAACAAAUAGAAGAUACAGAGACAAAUGAUUCAAUAAGGCAAGGGUCAAAAGACUUGAACAGGCACUUCACAAAAGAAGAUAAUGCCCAAUUAAGCACAUGAAAGAGUGUUCAACAUUAAAUAUCAGGGAAAUGCGAGUUAAAACUACAGUAAGACAGCAGUUCAUACCCCUUAGAAUGGCUAAAAUCAAAACAAAUGAUCAUACCAAGUGCUGGUGGGAAUGUGAGGAACCUGGAACUCUCAUGCACUGCUGGUGGGAGAGGCCAAUGGCAGAAACUCUUUGAAGGACUCUGAGAGUGUCUUAUAAGUGUACAUCUACCCUAUAAGCAAGCAAUUCCACUGCUAGGUAUUUGCCCAAGAAAACUAUGUUUAUACAGACUUGUAUAAGAAAAAUAUGUUCCCAAUAAAAUUGUAAAGAAUGUUUAUGGCAGUCUUAUUCAAAUAUUGAAGAACUGGCAGCAACCCAGAUGUCCACCAGGAAGUACAUGGAUAAACAACCUAUGGUAUGUCCAUAUAAUGGAAUAUCACUAAGCAAUAGAAAGGAACAAACUAUUUAUAUAUUCAGUGUAACAUGGAUGACUGGCAAAACCAUUAUGGGAAGUGAAGGAAACCAGACCCAGAAUAGUACACACUGUAUGAUUCCAUUUACAUGAAAUCCAAAUGUAGACAAACGAAUAUAUAAUGUUAGACACCAGUUUGUGGGUUUAUGUAAGUGUUUUGGGGUGUUAGGUGGGGGGUUGUUGACCAGUUAGAGGCAUGAGGGAACUUCCUCAAAGAAUAGAAAUGUCUUAUAUUUUAUUUUGAGGAUUAUGACAUGAAUGUGUAUGAUUGUCAAAAUUAAUCAUACUAAACAUUAAAACCUGAGCAUUUUUUUCUAUGUAAACUUUAUUUUAAAACAAAAAUAAAAUAAAAACCAGGUCUGGGUCUGGCAUGGUGGCUCACACCUGUAAUCCCAGCACUUUGGGAAGCGGAGGUGGGCAGAUCACAAAGUCAGGAGUUUGAGACCAGCCUGGCCAACAUGGUGAAAACCCGCCUCUACUGAAAAUACAGAAAUUAGCUGGACACGGUGGCAGUGCAUGCCUGUAAUCCCAGCUACUCAGGAUACUGAGGCACGAGAAUCGCUUGAACCUAGGAGGCGGAGGUUGCAGUGAGCCGAGAUCGCGCCACUGCACUCCAGCCUGGCGACAGAGUGAGACUCCGUCUCAAAAAAAACAAAACAAAACAAAACCCAGGUCUGGUGAUUGAUAUAUAUUUGACCCUCACAUUUCUAGCUUGAAUGUUUGUGUGGAUGGUGGUGACACUAAGACAGAUGAAGGAUGUGAGAGGAAGAGAAGGUAAAGGAGGAGAAAGAUGAGUCAAAUGUUGUAUCAAUGGAGUAUGUGGUGUCCAUUAUCACAGGCACCAGCUAAUGAUAUCCUGAAGGAAAAAAAAAAAAAACACUAACAAAAACAAAACCACCUGAAUCAAUGAGUCUGAAGCUCAGAGAAGAGGUCAGGAUAGGAACAUACCCCUGACAGUCACUUGAUCAUUGUGAAAAGCAGGAGUAUGAGUGAAAUGAUGCAGAGAGGAGCUCUGGCAUUAGAAAGCAGUGGCCAAAGGCUGGAUCCUGAGAGGCAACACUCAUUACCGGGUUAGCAGAAGAGAGCGUUCCAUGAAAGAGACUGCAACUCAUCCCGGAGGCAUGAGGAGAACCAGGAAAGGGCAGAACCACAGUCAUUCAAAGCCAAGAGUUUUGUGGGGGUUUUUUUUUUUAAUUCAUUUGUUUUAGUAGGUGUUUCAUGUAUUAAAAGACUUUUCUAAACCAAUUUACUGUGGCAUAAAUUACAUGCCAUAAAAUUCAUUCAUUUGAAGCAUAUGGGUCACUGAGUUUUAGUGAAUUUAUACAGUCCUGUAACCACUACCACACUCAAGUUUUAAAACAUUUUCAUUGCCACAAAAAUUUCCCUCACACCACUUUGCCGUUGAUCCCUGAUCCCAAGACCAGCCCCAGACAACCACAGAUAUGCUUUUAUCAUUAGAGUUUUGCCAUUUUUAGAAAUUUCAUACAAAUGGAAUCAUGUAGUCCUUUGUGUCUGCCUUCUUUCUUUUAACCUGUUUUUGAGAUUUCUUCAUGUUGUUGCCUGAAUUUGUAACAUAUUUCUUUCUUCUGGAGCAUAGUUUUUCACUGUAUGAAUAGACCACAUUUUGUUUAACCAUUCAUCAACUGACAGACAUUGCCAUUGCUUCCAUUUAGUGUUAUGAUGAAUAAUCCUGCAAC
rnacentral:lncRNA from 1 species